AUUGAACGCUGGCGGCAGGCCUAACACAUGCAAGUCGAGCGGAUGAAGGGAGCUUGCUCCUGGAUUCAGCGGCGGACGGGUGAGUAAUGCCUAGGAAUCUGCCUGGUAGUGGGGGAUAACGUCCGGAAACGGGCGCUAAUACCGCAUACGUCCUGAGGGAGAAAGUGGGGGAUCUUCGGACCUCACGCUAUCAGAUGAGCCUAGGUCGGAUUAGCUAGUUGGUGGGGUAAAGGCCUACCAAGGCGACGAUCCGUAACUGGUCUGAGAGGAUGAUCAGUCACACGGGAACUGAAACAGGGCCCAGACCCCUAGGGGGGGCAGCAGGGGGGAAGUUUGGAAAAGGGGGGAAAGCCUGACCCAGCCAGGCCGGGGGUGUGAAGAAGUUCUUCGGUUGUUAAAGCACUUUAAGUGGGGAGGAAGGGCAGUAAGUUAAUACCUUGCUGUUUGGACGUGACCAACAAAAAAAGCACCGGCUAACUUCGG
rnacentral:rRNA from 1 species